AUCACUGCAAGCCAACUUGACUGUAGGGUUUGAGUUGUUAUAAUAGCACCAGUAAGUUAUUUAUAGGUUUCUUAAAUUUAAUGCUUUAUAAACUUUCUUAACUUUACAAACCCUAGCCGUCUCACUCCUAUCCAUUUCCCAUUUCAGAUCUCAAACACUCACUCUCUCUCUCUCCCCUCCGCUGCUUCCUCAGUCUGUGUCUCUCUCUUCUUCCUCUCUUCCUCCAAAUCACUCUUUCUCCAGUCUCCAGUCUUCUCCUGUCCUCUUCCCCUUCUUCCAAACCAUGAUUUUCCCUCGCCCCUUUCGAAUCGGAACCCCCUCCAAAUUGGUAGAUUCUAAAUCUGGGUUUUCCGAUCUCUCACAGAUGCAUAGGUGUUGCCAUGGCUGACGAGCGACGAGAUGUUUGGGACUAAAAACAAACCCCCAAUAGCUUUUGGAUCCACAACAAGAAAGACGCACCGACACCCACUAAUGUCAGAUCCAUGGCCGAUCAUCCCAGUUCGUAUUCAUUUUAUGCAGAAGUUUCUGCAUCCUCAAUCAAUUGUUGCAGAUUCGUUCUAGAUUAAAAAAAAAAAAAUUCAUGGAAAAAACCGAACCGGAGUGAAACCGAACCAAAAAAAUCAAAACU